rnacentral:lncRNA from 1 species
CGGAGUUUUUCUCAAUAUCAUAAAAAUUAAAAUUACAUUUUAGUCUAAAAUGACAAGCCAUUUCUGAAUUAACAGUAUUCAAAGCCACAUUAACAAAUCCAGGUAUUUUAUAAAUAUGUAACACAACAAGGAUAAGAUUUUCCAACACUUUACCUAAUUUCUCAAGUCAAGCUGUAUAAUAGAAAAGAUAAAUGAAAUGUCAAAUAUGACAAGAUAGGCAAUAAAAUUAUAUUUUUACAAGGGGAAACAAAGUUUUCUAC